rnacentral:rRNA from 1 species
AUGGAUUUGGGAACCGCUUCCUCCAGCACGCAUGUUCUAGUGAACAGCGAGCCCGGACCACCCAUCUGGCGCCGACAAGGGCUCCGCCAGGGCGACUCUAUGUCCCCGCAGCUCUUCGUGCUCACCGUCGACACGCUCGGACGGCUCCUGAGACGUGUCCACAGCUUGGGCAUUCUGCAGCCACUGCACCCCCGACGACACAUCCCAACGAUCUCGCUUUACGCCGGCGACGUCAUGGUCUUCUGCCAUGCCACGGCUGGCGACGUCGCUGCGGUCAAGGAGAUCCUCGCCUUGUUCAGCAGGGCCUCUGGCCUCCAGGUGAACUUCGCCAAGAGCUCCGCUACCAUCUUGCACGGCGACUAG